rnacentral:tRNA from 1 species
AGGAAAUUAACUCAGUGGUAGAGUAUCUCUCUUACAAAGAGUAAGUCAUUGGUUCAAAUCCAAUAUUUCCUA